AAAUAUGAGUCCAAUAAAAAAAGGCAUCUUUUCUGAAUCGUGAGAGAAAUUUUUAGCACUGUUUACAAGCAAAAAUGAUCCAAAACAUUGAAUUGUCCAGAAGUGAUUGUUUCAAGUUAAUUAAGGAUGGAAUUGUUUCUUACAAACAUGCAGCUUUUUGCUUCACGAUAUGUUAAUUGAUGGACUUGAGUGGUGUGGAUUAUUUGUGGAUUAUUGUGAUGUUUUUAUCAGCUGUUUGGACUCUCAAAUUUCUACAAAUCUGUUCCAAUAAAGAAAUAAACUUUGGGUGAGGGUGAGUAAAUUUUCAGCAAGUUUAAAUUUUGGGGUAACUUUAGUUCUAUUAGUUGUACUGUAGGUCUAUACGAUGACUAAAAUUAAGUGACCAAAGUACAGAACAACAAAUGUUUUAAUACAAUUCAUUGGAAAACAAAAGCUGUAUGAUCUCCCCAGUCAAAGUGACAGACUCUGGAGUGUACUACUGUGCCCUGGUCCCACAGUGACCGGAAAAGAAACAACACUGUACAAAGAGUAAGACAGAUCACACACUGCAUCACUGUCAAGCACUUACUAUAACAUUCAGUUUAUAGUUUUAAGGGGAGGAGUUUGCUUGAGACAUCAUCUGUUGACAAGGAAAGAACAGAAAGUUUAGCUGAAGAACAUUUUGUGCUGAACUUAAACUUCAUUCUGGUUAUGAUCAACAUGUUGCCCUGCUUAACUGGUUUGAUUUGUUCUCUUAUAUGUGGCAGUUUUGCGAAUGUCAUCACACCAGUCCAGACUGAGGUUUAUAAGAAAGAAGGAGAAAACGUUACUCUGUCCUGUAGCUACUCCUCAGCGUCUACACUGCAGUGGUAUCGCCAGUAUCCCGGAUCAGCUCCUCAAUUUCUUUUGAUAAUACUACAUGCUACAGGAAAAGUUUCACAAAAGUCAGAAAUUGUGGAUCGAGAUCCUCGAUUCUUUGGGAAAGUGAAUGAAGAGAAAACCCAUGUGAUUCUGGAGAUCUCCUCUGCUAAGCUGACAGAUGCUGCUCUGUAUUACUGUUCCCUGGAGCCCACAGUGACAGGAAACACAACAACACUGUACAAAAACACUCCCAAUGACAUUAUAGGUGAAUGUACUGUACCAUACAUUGCAUGUCUU
ensembl:lncRNA